UACGUAGGGUGCAAGCGUUGUCCGGAAUUAUUGGGCGUAAAGAGCUCGUAGGCGGACUGUCACGUCUGCUGUGAAAAGCUAGGGCUUAACCCUGGCCUUGCAGUGGAUACGGGCAGACUAGAGGUAGGUAGGGGAGAAUGGAAUUCCCGGUGUAGCGGUGAAAUGCGCAGAUAUCAGGAGGAACACCGGUGGCGAAGGCGGGUCUCUGGGCCGUAACUGACGCUGAGGAGCGAAAGCGUGGGGAGCAAACAGG
rnacentral:rRNA from 1 species